CUCAUAGGGGAGGAGACAAGCUCCUGGUACCUACGGCAGGAUCAGUCUCUGAACAAAUAAUUCUGCUCUUCCCUGUUUUCAGCGUUUCUGUGGUUCCCUCCCUCAUUCUACAGCUGGGAGCACCAGGGACAGGGAAGAAGGAAGUCCUGCAGCCGGGCCGGUUUCGUUGCUUUAAGCAGCAGUGAUGUUUUUUCUGCUUUUCUGAAGGGUGUUUGUCCUGCCUCUAGCUGUUCAAAGUCCUAAUAUUGUUAUUGCAGAGGAAGGCAUUUGACACAGCUCCAGAGCAGUCACAGCCAACACCUCCAUGGCCAUGGCAUUUUGGGCAAGUGGUUUGAACAAGUUAUAUCCCAGGACCAUUGGCUCUGGAAGAGAAGAUACUGCCAGCUGUGAGCACAGUAAUAAGGUAAUGCUGUUAAUGCUAAACCAAAGGGUAGAAAUAAAAUCAGCUUUCCCAACAUCAGCACUUACAAGUUGUGAUGCAUUACAAAUUGUGACCUAUUUAGAUGUCUAUUUUAGAAUGAAGAAAUAUGUCCUAGAAGUGUCUAAUUUUUUCCACUGAGCCCAGGGUAAUGAGAUAAACAUGUAAAGGUCAGACAAAUCCUGCAGUAAUUUUUAAGUAGAAGAAAGUUAUGGCUUUAGAGCCUGAUCCCUGUGCCUGUACCAUCCCUCA